UAGGGAAUCUUCGGCAAUGGGGGGAACCCUGACUGAGCAACGCCGCGUGAGUGAAGAAGGUUUUCGGAUCGUAAAGCUCUGUUGUUAAGGAAGAACGAGUGUGAGAAUGGAAAGUUCAUGCUGUGACGGUACUUAACCAGAAAGGGACGGCUAACUACGUGCCAGCAGCCGCGGUAAUACGUAGGUCCCGAGCGUUGUCCGGAUUUAUUGGGCGUAAAGCGAGCGCAGGCGGUUAGAAAAGUCUGAAGUGAAAGGCAGUGGCUCAACCAUUGUAGGCUUUGGAAACUGUUUAACUUGAGUGCAGAAGGGGAGAGUGGAAUUCCAUGUGUAGCGGUGAAAUGCGUAGAUAUAUGGAGGAACACCGGUGGCGAAAGCGGCUCUCUGGUCUGUAACUGACGCUGAGGCUCGAAAGCGUGGGGAGCGAACAGG
rnacentral:rRNA from 1 species